CCUACGGGGGGCAGCAGUGGGGAAUAUUGGGCAAUGGGCGCAAGCCUGACCCAGCAACGCCGCGUGAAGGAAGAAGGCUUUCGGGUUGUAAACUUCUUUUCUCAGGGACGAAGCAAGUGACGGUACCUGAGGAAUAAGCCACGGCUAACUACGUGCCAGCAGCCGCGGUAAUACGUAGGGGGCAAGCGUUAUCCGGAUUUACGGGGUGUAAAGGGCGUGUAGGCGGGAAAGCAAGUCAGUUGUGAAAACCCUGGGCUCAACCGGGGCACUGAAUUUGAAACUGUUUUUCUUGAGUACUGGAGAGGCAGAGGGAAUUCCUAGUGUAGCGGUGAAAUGCGUAGAUAUUAGGAGGAACACCAGUGGCGAAGGCGAUCUGCUGGACAGCAACUGACGCUGUGGCACGAAAGCGUGGGGAGCAAACAGGAUUAGAUACCCCAGUAGUC
rnacentral:rRNA from 1 species